GGUUAAGUGACUAAGCGUACACGGUGGAUGCCUGGGCAGUCAGAGGCGAUGAAGGACGUACUAACUUGCGAUAAGCGCAGAUAAGGCAGUAAGAGCCGUUUGAGUCUGCGAUUUCCGAAUGGGGAAACCCAACUGCAUAAGCAGUUACUGUUAACUGAAUACAUAGGUUAACAGAGCAAACCGGGGGAACUGAAACAUCUAAGUACCCCGAGGAGAAGAAAUCAACCGAGAUUCCGGUAGUAGCGGCGAGCGAACCUGGAUUAGCCCUUAAGCACUCGGUGAAGUAGGUGAACAAGCUGGAAAGCUUGGCGAUACAGGGUGAUAGCCCCGUAACCGACGCUUCAUCGAGCGUGAAAUCGAGUAGGGCGGGACACGUGAUAUCCUGUCUGAAUAUGGGGGGACCAUCCUCCAAGGCUAAAUACUCCUGACUGACCGAUAGUGAACCAGUACCGUG
rnacentral:rRNA from 1 species